rnacentral:miRNA from 1 species
UGGACGGAGAUUUGUUAAAGAUC